rnacentral:rRNA from 1 species
AGAGUUUGAUCAUGGCUCAGGACGAACGCUGGCGGCGUGCCUAAUACAUGCAAGUCGAACGAAUUCUGGUAUUGAUUGGUGCUUGCAUCAUGAUUUACAUUUGAGUGAGUGGCGAACUGGUGAGUAACACGUGGGAAACCUGCCCAGAAGCGGGGGAUAACACCUGGAAACAGAUGCUAAUACCGCAUAACAACUUGGACCGCAUGGUCCGAGUUUGAAAGAUGGCUUCGGCUAUCACUUUUGGAUGGUCCCGCGGCGUAUUAGCUAGAUGGUGGGGUAACGGCUCACCAUGGCAAUGAUACGUAGCCGACCUGAGAGGGUAAUCGGCCACAUUGGGACUGAGACACGGCCCAAACUCCUACGGGAGGCAGCAGUAGGGAAUCUUCCACAAUGGACGAAAGUCUGAUGGAGCAACGCCGCGUGAGUGAAGAAGGGUUUCGGCUCGUAAAACUCUGUUGUUAAAGAAAAACAUAUCUGAGAGUAACUGUUCAGGUAUUGACGGUAUUUAACCAGAAAGCCACGGCUAACUACGUGCCAGCAGCCGCGGUAAUACGUAGGUGGCAAGCGUUGUCCGGAUUUAUUGGGCGUAAAGCGAGCGCAGGCGGUUUUUUAAGUCUGAUGUGAAAGCCUUCGGCUCAACCGAAGAAGUGCAUCGGAAACUGGGAAACUUGAGUGCAGAAGAGGACAGUGGAACUCCAUGUGUAGCGGUGAAAUGCGUAGAUAUAUGGAAGAACACCAGUGCGAAGGCGGCUGUCUGGUCUGUAACUGACGCUGAGGCUCGAAAGUAUGGGUAGCAAACAGGAUUAGAUACCCUGGUAGUCCAUACCGUAAACGAUGAAUGCUAAGUGUUGGAGGGUUUCCGCCCUUCAGUGCUGCAGCUAACGCAUUAAGCAUUCCGCCUGGGGAGUACGGCCGCAAGGCUGAAACUCAAAGGAAUUGACGGGGGCCCGCACAAGCGGUGGAGCAUGUGGUUUAAUUCGAAGCUACGCGAAGAACCUUACCAGGUCUUGACAUACUAUGCAAAUCUAAGAGAUUAGACGUUCCCUUCGGGGACAUGGAUACAGGUGGUGCAUGGUUGUCGUCAGCUCGUGUCGUGAGAUGUUGGGUUAAGUCCCGCAACGAGCGCAACCCUUAUUAUCAGUUGCCAGCAUUAAGUUGGGCACUCUGGUGAGACUGCCGGUGACAAACCGGAGGAAGGUGGGGAUGACGUCAAAUCAUCAUGCCCCUUAUGACCUGGGCUACACACGUGCUACAAUGGAUGGUACAACGAGUUGCGAACUCGCGAGAGUAAGCUAAUCUCUUAAAGCCAUUCUCAGUUCGGAUUGUAGGCUGCAACUCGCCUACAUGAAGUCGGAAUCGCUAGUAAUCGCGGAUCAGCAUGCCGCGGUGAAUACGUUCCCGGGCCUUGUACACACCGCCCGUCACACCAUGAGAGUUUGUAACACCCAAAGUCGGUGGGGUAACCUUUUAGGAACCAGCCGCCUAAGGUGGGACAGAUGAUUAGGGUGAAGUCGUAACAAGGUAGCCGUA